rnacentral:misc_RNA from 1 species
UUGAGUUCAGCAACCAUUAGCCAGUCACCACGACAAAAUAUAUUAGUAGUUUGCACUUCAUGUUCCAAGGGGCUAGCAGAAAGUUAAGAGACUAUUUAUACAACUAGAUGCUUGUCGAUGAUAAAAUGAUGUUGCAGUACCAUACACCGGAAGUCACUUUUAGAAGCCGUCUUCCAAUGACUAAAUGAUAAGCAGCAAUGAUCAAAUGCCAUUUGAUUAAUCACCUCCAACUUGCCUCUUCCAAGAAUCUUCCACGAUCAAUUCAUCCACUCCCCAGUCCUCAUAACUUCCAUCAGGGAGGUAGCGCCGGAUGGUGAAAGGUAUUUUCCGCUCGCGGAGUUCCUUCAUUGCAAUCUCAAGUGGGUCAGUCUCACCCUCCAACUCAACCAUUACAGGAGCAUUCAUGCUGAUCUGCAAAGCACGAGUUCCCAAAAUUCUGGCACGCUCAUAUUUAGUCAUAUAUUUUGAUGUUUUACGAGGACGUUCCACAGGUUCUUGUUCUUCUUUAUCCUCAGUUUCAAUGGGUUCCCCAUUAACAUCCUCAUUGUUAUUGUUAUCAACAUCCUCUUCUGCUCCUUCUUCAAUCUCAGGCUCUGGCGGCUCAUCCUCAUAUCCCAUAUCCACAUCAUUGUAGUCGUCGUCUGCCAUGGUUGAAUGUCGAAGACAGAGAGAACUUGUUUCCUUUAAAUCGCUCUGUGCGCAAAGCCCUAAGCAGGGAAAACGAAGCAAAAACCCUUCUGUGUAUUAUC